UCUGUUCGUCUUCUGGUUCAUCGUCAUCGGCUGCCUCACUUUCUUCGUCGCUUUCGUCCUCUGCAAAGCGUGUAAAUACUAAAUUAAAACAAUAGGUGCCGUAAUAUUUGCUGUCUUUCCAAGGCCUUCCAAGAGCUUCAACAUUUGCCAACGUUGUUGCUUGACAAACUGGGCAAUCGCUGAUGUUGGACAGGAUGCAUUCGAUGUGGAAUGAAUGUCCACAACCACGGAAAACGUUCCAAGUGGAUUAACCUUUUUGCAGGCAGGUGAAUUGCAUUUUCUAUGAUGGAAAUUUUAAAGUAAGAUUUAUAUUUUAUACAGAUCUUUAUAGUCAGUUUGUCCUUGGAAAUUGUUCCAAAAUAUGAGUGUGUAGCAAAGUUAAAAUAGUACUCAUAAUCUCCAGAAAAUGUUUGAAUCACAGCAGUCCUGAGACAUCGGAACUGGCAGCUGUUCAUCUGAUGAUUCUGAUCAAUGGCACCCCAUAUCUAUUUAGUGUACAAUACCAGUCAAUGUAAAUUACCACCUCCCCCAACCCAGGAGUUGGUAGUUUUUACUUUUCAGCACUGCAUAAUCAAAAGUGUUGGAUUGUAUGAAUAUCUGGUUUUGUCUCAGUGACAUGAACCCCACACUUCCUAGAUUCGAGCAGGCAGGGACUUAUAUUGAUUGGUACUUAGUUCAAUUGCAGCAAUUGGUCUGCCUGUGUGUUAUUUUUAAGUGUACCCUGGUUCUAGAGGCUCUUUGCAAGGUGAAAGAAACAAGAGGCAAGAACGGAGAGCCUCUGGUCACAUCGAUUGCAAAUCCUACUUCCAAACUUGACUAGGUUCAGAAUUUGGACCUUGGAUGUGAUUGGCCAUUUGUAAACAACCUGUUUAAGAAAAACCUGUUUGGGAAAUAAACACUACUGUGAGCUAAUUAUAGCCUGUAUUAAAAUAUUCUAUUAAACUCAACCAAGCAUGAAUAUUAAUACUCCUACAGGUGAAAAAGGUAUCGAAUUUCUCAGGAGAUAAAUAUAUUAAUCAGUUUUGCAGGACAUGUUAGUAAUACAUGCCCAAGCAUGUAUUGACUUUAAUAGAAUAUUUUAAUACAGGCUAUAAUUAGCUUACAGCAAUGUUUAUUUCCCAAACCGGUUUGACAUAUUUUUACAAAUGGCCAAUCACAUGCGAGAUUCAAAUUCUGAACCUAAUCAAGUGUGGAAGUGGGAUUUGCAAUCGAUGUCACCCUGGGCCUUACACAGCGGAGGAGAGGGGGCGGCAGGGGGCAACUGCCCCCCUAAAGAAAACUGUAUUUACAAUUUUUAGAUUGUCAUUGUUAAUUAUUCUUUGCAUAUUUGGGACUUUUUUCAACAUAUAAGCCUUACUGCCCCCUUGGUGAUACGGCCCUGAUGUGACCAGAGGCUCUCCGUUCUCACAUCUUGUUUCUUUCACCUUGCAAAGAGCCUCUGGAACCAGGGUACUCUUAAAGUAACACACAGACAAAGCAAAUAAUAUAAUGCUUUUAAAAAUCUUCAAUUUCAAAAGAGGCAGUAAAUUGGUAGGGAAAUCUUUCAAUAAUAUCCUGUGGUUAUGGUAAACUAUGUACCAGUACCAGACAAUAUAAAUCCCUGCCUGCUCAAAUCUAGGAAGUGUGGGGGCCAUUGGGCAAAGCAGGGUCACUGAAGGCCUGUUUAUAUGAUCCUGCCU
rnacentral:lncRNA from 1 species